rnacentral:tRNA from 1 species
GCAUUAGUGGUUCAGUGGUAGAAUUCUCACCUUCCAUGCAAGAGACCUGGGUUCGAUUCUCAGUCAGUGUA